CAGCCACAUCACAUUGAAACAUUAGUUUCCAUAUGAUCGCCAAAGUUAAGCAACGUUGAGCCUGGUCAGUACCUAGAUGAGUGACCGCUUGGGAAUACGAGGUGCUGUA